rnacentral:misc_RNA from 1 species
ACACCAGCGUCGACACCGCUCAUCAAUCCACGUAGCAAAGCCCCCAUGUCCGAGGAGAGCCACCAUAGCAAGGACGUCCACGGCAAUGCAAUCACGCCAUUUCGCACGGAACGCACAGAGCGCGACGAGAAGGGCACCUUCCUGGGGUGAUAGUAGUCCACCUCUAGCAGCGUUCCUGCCCCGCCGCCGCCGCGCGACGUUUCGGUCGGCCUGGUUCCUUUCUGUCUCAUUUCCUUUGUACGUCUCGUCCUCAUGGCUGUGUCGGUCGGCACUCCGUGGCACCGCAAGCAGCACUACAGCCCGAAUGGGCUGCACGGUGAAGGCCACCUCUUCUACCUCUUCGAGCAUGUGACGAAGGUCGAGGGGUCUCUGGGUGUGGUCACGCACCCGAGGAGUCUGUGCACGUAUGUGCAGCGUCGUGCGCGGGUGAUGGAGGCCUUUUCCAUUGUGUCGUCCGCCAUGACACGCUGAUGUUUGCGCUCAGCGUGCUGAAUGCCUACUAGCGGUCCGUGGCGCGGAAUAUGGUGAUCCGCAAUGUCACGCUCGUCUUCACCGCCCGCUCGAUGGGUAGCCUCAGGAUCGAGGUCUGCUUCAACUUGAACGUAUACCUCUGCAGCCUCGCGGAGUGCGGGGGCGGCGCAAGCUACCGCUCCCAGCUCCACAAGCCGUACGCGGGCUUUUGCCUCACCGUGGGCGGCCUGGCUGUUGACGGCGCUGGACAGCGGCAUCAUCGCCGCGAGCAAGUUCACUGUCCCGCUCGAUGCGCAGACGGUGGACAAGAGCAUCCACUCCUUCAUGCUACCCCAUAUCGCACUGGUGCUACAAGGAUGGAACGUGGCAGCUCGUGGCGGUCACACUUCUCUCUUUGUGAUGAGCUUCCAGCCCUCGUUGCUGGUGCAGUACCUCCGCGCCGACGAGGCUUUUGGCAUCUCCCCCAUCCUGCUCAAGAUGCUGACGGGCGGCUUCAGCCUUGUGGCGUCGUCCUUCGGCACUAUGGUGUCGUGCUUCGCCAUCACAGCGGCGUCCCCACCUGACGAAGAAGUAGCUCCCUUCAAUGAUUCCACGCAAGAUGGCCAAGCAGAUCGCUGUGGAGGAAUAUCAGCGAGGGUGUGAGCGGAAGUGGGAUGCAGAGGAGAAGGUACAGUACGCGGAGAAGAGUGCGGAGGACAAGCAGGGUGAGGGAUAAUGUGAUGGCGGCUUCCGAGGUACUACCGCGCGCUGCUAUCCCCUUCUCCUCAGCCUGUGGUUUGUGCGCACUGCUCUAAUAGCCUGCGCCCCGUCGGACACACGAGGAGGAGGAAAAAAAAGACGCAGAAGACGCUGGUACUCCUCUGCCAGCGUGUGUGUCUAGUGUUCUCCCCUCUCUUCUCCCUCCUCUGAUUGUCAAGCAUCGAAACGAGAGCAAAACCGCCGCAUCUGCGCCGCGCGUACCGUUUGCUGUUUUUUUGUUGUUCUCGUUGCUGCCUUGUGAUGUACGCCUCACCGUGUCGCCAUCGUCGUCGUCGUCUCUCUGGUUUGUUUCGCUAAAAGUGCGUGCUCCUUCCGUUUCCAUUUUUUUUUGGAGGGGGAAGGAGGAGGGCCGAAGGUGCACCACAGCAUGACGCUGCCGCCAGUGUGCGUGCUGUGCGGUGCGGUGCAAGCGAGGAGGCAAGACGUAGGGCCUGAAACGCUCUCGGGCGUGUGUAGUGCUAAGCAUCAACUGCCAGUGCGGUGGAGAGAGUUCGAUCGCUGCUGAUCUGUGUGUAGAUGUGGGUUUGGGUGUGGAUGAGCAGCACAGACACAGCACACGUCUUUCCAAUCUUUUUCAUCUCGACGCUUCACUGUCGUGUGGGUGUUCGUCUGUGAUUAGCUUGUUGUCCUCUGUGUGAGUCUC